ACGUCCGUCGUGAAGAGGGAAACAACCCAGACCGCCAGCUAAGGUCCCAAAGUCAUGGUUAAGUGGGAAACGAUGUGGGAAGGCCCAGACAGCCAGGAUGUUGGCUUAGAAGCAGCCAUCAUUUAAAGAAAGCGUAAUAGCUCACUGGUCGAGUCGGCCUGCGCGGAAGAUGUAACGGGGCUAAACCAUGCACCGAAGCUGCGGCAGCGACGCUCAGGCGUUGUUGGGUAGGGGAGCGUUCUGUAAGCCUGUGAAGGUGGCCUGUGAGGGUUGCUGGAGGUAUCAGAAGUGCGAAUGCUGACAUAAGUAACGAUAAAGCGGGUGAAAAGCCCGCUCGCCGGAAGACCAAGGGUUCCUGUCCAACGUUAAUCGGGGCAGGGUGAGUCGACCCCUAAGGCGAGGCCGAAAGGCGUAGUCGAUGGGAAACGGGUUAAUAUUCCCGUACUUGGUGUUACUGCGAAGGGGGGACGGAGAAGGCUAUGUUGGCCGGGCGACGGUUGUCCCGGUUUAAGCGUGUAGGUGUGUGUUCCAGGUAAAUCCGGUUCACUUUAACACUGAGGCGUGACGACGAGGCACUACGGUGCUGAAGCAACAAAUGCCCUGCUUCCAGGAAAAGCCUCUAAGCAUCAGGUAACAUCAAAUCGUACCCCAAACCGACACAGGUGGUCAGGUAGAGAAUACCAAGGCGCUUGAGAGAACUCGGGUGAAGGAACUAGGCAAAAUGGUGCCGUAACUUCGGGAGAAGGCACGCUGACACGUAGGUGAAGUGAUUUACUCAUGGAGCUGAAGUCAGUCGAAGAUACCAGCUGGCUGCAACUGUUUAUUAAAAACACAGCACUGUGCAAACACGAAAGUGGACGUAUACGGUGUGACGCCUGCCCGGUGCCGGAAGGUUAAUUGAUGGGGUCAGCGCAAGCGAAGCUCCUGAUCGAAGCCCCGG
rnacentral:rRNA from 1 species